GAUAACCUGCUCGGCUCGAGGGGCCCCUAGCUCAGCGGGCCCGGGGCAGUGUCCCCCUGGCCACUGUGUCCCCGAGACCCAUCACAGGGCCCGGAAGACGGAAGGCUCCCUUCCCAGCGGGGCCGGAACCCCAUAGAAGCAGACCAGUGUUCCUCAUCCCCGCACCGCGUGUGGUCAGGCCUCAGGGCCACCAGGAAGAGCGGGCCCCAGACGAGCAGAGGGGGCAGGGAGGAAGUCUCCAUGGAAGAUGCCAGGAAAGUUGGGAGAAUACAGGGGCAUCCGGGAAGGCUUCCCAGAGGAGGGUACCCACCGUGUGCAUGCACACCGACGUGUGUCCGCAGUCGACCUGCUUACUCAAGCUCCCUGCUCCUGCCCCCAGCCCCCCGGUGAGAGCUUCCUGCGCCGACCCCACGGGGAGCCGGUGCUUUGAGAGCGAUCUCCCUGUCUCCUCACUUGG